AUACGUAGGGAGCGAGCGUUGUCCGGAAUUACUGGGCGUAAAGGGCGCGUAGGCGGCGCUUCAAGUCGUCUGUCAAAUGGAAGGGCUUAACCCUUUUUCGCAGACGAAACUGGAGAGCUUGAGAAGCAGAGAGGCAAACAGAAUUCCUGGUGUAGCGGUGAAAUGCGUAGAUAUCAGGAAGAAUACCAGUGGCGAAGGCGGUUUGCUGGCUGCAUACUGACGCUGAAGCGCGAAAGCCAGGGGAGCAAACGGGAUUAGAUACCCCGGUAGUCCUGGCAGUAAACGAUGUAUGCUGGGUGUGAGACUAGCGAUAGUUUCGUGCCGAAGUUAACGCGAUAAGCAUACCGCCUGGGGAGUACGGUCGCAAGAUUGAAACUCAAAGGAAUUGACGGGG
rnacentral:rRNA from 1 species